rnacentral:lncRNA from 1 species
UGUUUCACUAAAUUUUGAACUACCUCAAAGUACAAUAAACUAUGUGACUUCAUGCUAAAAGAUGAUACAUUUUGCCAAGCAUAUACUUUACCUCAAAAUUAACAAAAUAAAUAAUAAUCAUAAAGCUAUAGUAAGUUGAAUAGGACAAAAUGAAGAAAGAAAUGGUUCUGAUAAAACAUUCGUGAUUUUUUUAUGAAUCAGACACUAUGUUAUCUUAUUCAUUCUUUGCAAUAACUGUAAGAGGAAGGUAUUAUUAUAAUAUUUUUAUUGUAAAUCAAGAUCAAGUAAAUUUCCCAGGUCACACUAACUGACAGAUAAGGAAUUCACGCCCAGGUAUUUCUGUCUUUCUAUGAACAACAUAGCCCUGAAUGUACAGCUAAGGAAAAAGGCCACAGACGUUAUUGAUAUAAUAUCCAAGACAUCUCAUAACAGAUUGACCUCAAGCCAAUAAACAUAAAGACACUGAAGCUUGCAGUUAGCUUCCCCCCCCUCAGAUUUUCCUGAGGAGUUAGUUUCUUUUUCACUUUAUUUAUUUUAUAUAAAGCUAAGAGAUCACUUUUUAAAGCAUAAAACUGACAGGUAAAUGAGAAAAUUUCCAUGAUAGUUGAAAUUUUUAAGCAAUUUUGAAAACCAUACUUUUCCAAGUUGCUUUUUUUUUAAGCUAAAAAAGACAUUUUGUUAAUGGAUUCAACUCUGGAAACUGAAUCCUAAUUUUUUUCUGUUUUUUUGUUUGUUUGUCUGUAGUAUUUUUCUAUUACUGUUAGAUAAUGCACCAGAGUUUAUUUUUGGAGGCAAAGGUUAUGAGAUUGAUGGACUGGCCACAAUAAAGAACAAUCUCAUCUUGUGUCUUUAUAUAAAGGUUAUUUAUUCCUUGCUCUGGAUAUUAAGAUGGUCUCUCUCUCUCAAAGAAGACCGUACAUAUUGCACCAUUUCUACAUUAAAGCUGCAUCUUUACAGGAAACAGGCAGAUUGUUUAACCAAUGAUAUACCUGACUUCGUUCCAAGCCAAACAACACUGCCUUUUUAUUUUUGCCCAUGCCGCAGGCUAUCUGAAAGUAUUAGAGUUAAUGUGCAAUCAGGUAAGUAAACCCAUAUUACAUAUCUGUAAUUUUCCUCCAGUAGAAAGAAAAUAUUACAUUACAAGCCUCCAUAAUUGCAUUCAAAUGUAAUCAAAUACAAAAGUUUAAGAUCCCAAAUCCUUUGAGUUACAAGAUCUCUUUUUCUAUACAUUUAACCAAUCUUAUAGCUGCAAAAAGAAGUUGAAAUAAUUCUCAAGGCACUAAAAAAAAUAACAAGAUUGCCCUAUGCUGUAAUUGCCAGCCCCAGGCUCUAAUUCUUUUAUAGCACUGUCUGCAGCAGCCAUUUACGUGCUCAGGCAACAAAGCCCUGGACAGGGAUGCAUUUACAAAACAUGUAUUUGUAGCUAGGAAAAUAGCCAUUUGAAACUAAAUAAAGUUUCUUUGAUUGGGGUGUUGGGUGAAAAC